rnacentral:rRNA from 1 species
ACUCAAAUGAAUAGACGGGUCCCCGCACAAGCGGCGGAGCAUGCGGCUUAAUUCGAUGCAACCCGAAGAACCUUACCUGGGUUUGACAUUAUGGGAAAAGCAGUAGAGAUACUGUGUCCGCAAGGGCCCAUAACAGGUGGUGCAUGGCUGUCGUCAGCUCGUGUCGUGAGAUGUUGGGUUAAGUCCCGCAACGAGCGCAACCCUUGUUCUAUGUUACCAGCGGGUUAAGCCGGGGACUCAUAGAAGACUGCCGGGGAUAACUCGGAGGAAGGUGGGGACGAGGUCAAGUCAUCAUGCCCCUUAUGCCCAGGGCUGCACGCAUGCUACAAUGGUCGGUACAACGGGCUGCGAUCCUGCGAAGGUGAGCGAAUCCCUAAAAGCCGGCCUCAGUUCAGAUUGGAGUCUGCAACUCGACUCCAUGAAGUCGGAGUCGCUAGUAAUCGCGGAUCAGCAAAGCCGCGGUGAAUGCGUUCUCGGGGAUUGUACACACCGCCCGU